rnacentral:misc_RNA from 1 species
AAAAAAAAAAAAAAAAAAAAGCCCUAAAAGUAUAACAGCUGGGGAAGAAAAGAAGAGCUCAACCAUACGAGGGGAUAAUGAAAGUAAUUUGCACCGAAACUGGAAGGAUUCGCUCCUACAAAUCAGAAAACUUGGGUGCGUCCAAAGCAGAUUAAUUGGUAGCCACAUACUUCGUUUCAAGUGGGAGCUACGAGUUCAAAUCCACCUCUCCUAACUUAAAAUAAAAAUAAAAAUAAAAACUUUGACGUGGAUGAUGUGGGGAAAAGUAGUAAAGAAACUUCAGUUGGCAUACAAAGGUGCUAAGAUCUCAUGCAAGUUAGCUAUGUGACUGGCCAAAACUUGAAAAUGGUGGCCAAGUUUCAAAUUUUGAAUCUACUCGUGUUUCUUAUAUGGGAGGGAUCCUCAAUAUGUCUUUUUUCUCACUGCUGACUUUCGAGGUUCUUUCUUUGCAGUGGUCAUAAAUCCUGGUGCUGGUAUUCCUGUUGUUGCUUGAUAUAAAUCCUUCAAUCUUGGCAUGCUGAUGAAAAGUGCAAUUACUGAAACCCCAACAACAAGAGGGAAAACUGGUGCCGGAGUCAAAUCAGAAUCAUGUGCCCAAAGAUGAAAAAAGAGCAAACUGAAACCCCAACAAGAGGGAAAACUGGUGCCGGAGUCAAAUCCUGUUUUUGGUGAUCCUCCUCAAAAUUGUAUCUCAGUGGGCCCACAUGAAUUUGGGCUGUCUUGUCCAGGUCAACCUCAAUAACAUCCGACUCAAAUUUGAGGUUGCUUGAUUGGAGACUUGAUCUAAGCUGCAGGAAGUGUUUACCCUUUGGUAAGUUCUUAACCUGAAAGAAGUUGGACAGUGGCAAAGGGAAGACGGACUCGAUCGUAGACGUGUCACUAGCUGACUUAAUCUCUACCAAGAGAUGUGAAUGAAAUUCUUCCAUCCUUUUUCCUUCAACGUGACAACUUAAAAUGGUCAUCUCUGGCUGUUCGAAGACGAUAAAAUUCAAUCCCCUGAUAUCCUCCGAUCCAACCUUAACAGUAACAGAUUCUGGCGAUGCACGUUCAAUUCUAUUGGCACCCAAGCCAUGCUUUUCAACUACUUUAAUCACAUAGGCUGUAUCAGGAAUGAGCCCUCUCAGCCUAUAACUUCCAGAUGAAUCUGUUACUGUCUCUUCAUAGUAGCCUUUUGACUCUGACCGAGCUUCAACUCCAACACCUUCUUUUGGCUGGCCUGACAACAGUUUGAUUACACCUGUAGCGCUGUAAGCAAUGCG